rnacentral:rRNA from 1 species
UGAGUUUGAUCCUGGCUCAGAACGAACGCUGGCGGCAUGCCUAACACAUGCAAGUCGAACGAGAACGCCCCUUCGGGGGUUAGUAGAGUGGCGCACGGGUGAGUAACGCGUGGGAACCUGCCAAGCAGUGGGGAAUAACCUUUGGAAACGAAGGCUAAUACCGCAUACGCCCUUUUGGGGAAAGAUUUAUCGCUGUUUGAUGGUCCCGCGUCCAAUUAGCUAGUUGGUAAGGUAACGGCUUACCAAGGCGACGAUUGGUAGCUGGUCUGAGAGGAUGAUCAGCCACACUGGGACUGAGACACGGCCCAGACUCCUACGGGAGGCAGCAGUGGGGAAUAUUGGACAAUGGGGGCAACCCUGAUCCAGCAAUGCCGCGUGAGUGAAGAAGGCCCUAGGGUUGUAAAGCUCUUUCAGUCGUGAAGAUGAUGACGGUAACGACAGAAGAAGCACCGGCUAACUUCGUGCCAGCAGCCGCGGUAAUACGAAGGGUGCUAGCGUUGUUCGGAAUUACUGGGCGUAAAGCGCGCGUAGGCGGAUGGAUU